rnacentral:rRNA from 1 species
GACAGAGGUGCCAAGCGUUAGGCGGAAUCACUGGGCUUAAAGCGUGUGUAGGUGGAUUUGUAAGUACCUUGUGAAAUCCCAUGGCUCAACCAUGGAACUGCUCGGUAUACUGCGAAUCUUGAGCCACUUAGGGGCUACCGGAACAAAUGGUGGAGCGGUGAAAUGCGUAGAUAUCUGGAGGAACACCGGUGGCGAAGGCGGCAUCCUGGACCAAUACUGACGCUGAGGAGCGAAAGCCAGGGGAGCAAACGGG